GACGAACGCUGGCGGCGUGCUUAACACAUGCAAGUCGAACGGAAAGGCCUCUUUCGGGGGGUACUCGAGUGGCGAACGGGUGAGUAACACGUGAUUAACCUGCCCUUGACUUUGGGAUAACUUCAGGAACCUGGGGCUAUUACCGGAUAGGAGCUCCUGCUGCAUUGUGGGGGUUUGAAAGUUUCGGCGGUUGGGGUUGGCUUCGCGGCUUAUCGGCUUGUUGGUGGGGUAGUGGCUUACCAAGGCUUUGACGGGUAGCCGGCCUGAGAGGGUGACCGGCCACAUUGGGACUGAGAUACGGCCCAGACUGCUACGGGAGGCAGCAGUGGGGAAUAUUGAACAAUGGGUGGAAGCCUGAUGCAGCAACGCCGUGUGCGGGAUGACGGCCUUCGGGUUGUAAAACGCUUUCGCUCAUGACGAAGCUUUGUGUGACGGUAGUGGGUAAAGAAGCACCGGCUAACUACGUG
rnacentral:rRNA from 1 species